ACACACGGAUAACAUACCGAAAGGUAUGCUAAUACGGGAUAAUAUAUUUGAGAGGCAUCUCUUGAAUAUCAAAGGUGAGCCAGUACAGGAUGGACCCGCGUCUGAUUAGCUAGUUGGUAAGGUAAAGGCUUACCAAGGCGACGAUCAGUAGCCGACCUGAGAGGGUGAUCGGCCACAUUGGAACUGAGACACGGUCCAAACUCCUACGGGAGGCAGCAGUGGGGAAUAUUGCACAAUGGGCGAAAGCCUGAUGCAGCAACGCCGCGUGAGUGAUGAAGGCCUUCGGGUCGUAAAACUCUGUCCUCAAGGAAGAUAAUGACGGUACUUGAGGAGGAAGCCCCGGCUAACUACGUGCCAGCAGCCGCGGUAAUACGUAGGGGGCUAGCGUUAUCCGGAUUUACUGGGCGUAAAGGAUGCGUAGGCGGUCUUUCAAGUCAGGAGUGAAAGGCUACGGCUCAACCGUAGUAAGCUCUUGAAACUGGGAGACUUGAGUGCAGGAGAGGAGAGUGGAAUUCCUAGUGUAGCGGUGAAAUGCGUAGAUAUUAGGAGGAACACCAGUUGCGAAGGCGGCUCUCUGGACUGUAACUGACGCUGAGGCACGAAAGCGUGGGGAGCAAACAGGAUUAGAUACCCUGGUAGUCCACGCUGUAAACGAUGAGUACUAGGUGUCGGGGGUUACCCCCUUCGGUGCCGCAGCUA
rnacentral:rRNA from 1 species